AUCCGAAAAAAGCGGGUUAGGGCUGAGGUUUCCGACCCGAAAACUUAAAUGGGUCGACAUGAACCCGAACCCGAAAUUAAAUGGGUUAGGUUAAGGUUGAAAAUCUCAACCUGAAAACGGCCCACUUAACCCGAAAUAAAUUUCAGGUCAAAAUCAGGUCGGGUCAACCCGAACCCGACUUGAUAACCCGAACUAAUUUAAGUAAGAAAAAGAAAAAAAAAACGUAAAAAGCUUAUUAAGCCCAGCCCAAAUUCACAAAGAGGCUUCCAUAUAUAAAUUCAAUACCCUAAAUGAACUCAUUUCCCCUCAUUGAUCUUCAGCCGUUUUUCCCCUCACUUCUCUCUCUUUAAUUUUCUCUCUCCUCAAAAACUCAUUGUUGAAUUCUACAGAGGUAGUUCCGUUAAGCCCAACUUUACCAUUGUCAUUUCCUUGACGGCUUGAAUCCUUCACUCCUCCACGAAUUCCUCUCCUUCAUCAAAGGUUUGGCAGCAAGAAGUAGCCCACCCAUGUUCAAUUGGAAAUGUUGUGGAUCAAUUUUGAAGCUUGAGGUGGUGAACAAGGAUGACAGCUAUGACAAAUUGACAGUCCCAACAUCGCCCGAUCUUAAUCCAAAUGAAAAUCUUAUUGCAUCUUCUAUUAUUUUUUGAAAACUGUAAUUUGUGUUAUUAAAACUUUAUCUUUGGUUUGUAAUUAGUGAAUUACAAUUUUUAUUGGUUUAUUAUCGUUAAGUAGGAUUGUUACUUUGUUAGACUAA